CCCACAGCGCCACCUGCGUCCCUUGUUUCAUAUUACCAGUCAAAAAUUCUCCAUACUUCUGAGGAGGAAGAAAAGGCCACUCUGCAUGAACUGCUACUUCAGACCACCUUGCAGAGAGGAAGGUUUAAGGUGUAGUAGCAGAGAAAAUGACUAUAUAUUAAAAAUGUUCUGGAGCCUUAGCAAAUCCUCUGUAAAAGGUAGUACAAUGUAAAUGAAGAACCCCACAUAAGAGAAGUAAGCUAUAUAUCCUACCAAGCUUCUUCUGAAUGGCUUCUAAUAUGCUAUCCGAGUCACACAGCAUGCAAGGCGUAGUGGUGCAGAUCUGAAUAUGGUAUUUCCCAACGGGUUUACGAUUAUACAUUGUAUAAAAGGUUGCUACUUCAUAAACUCUCAUGGGAGGUAUGUCUAGAAUCUCAGCAACCUGUAACAAUAAAAGACUGUUUUAUUUUUUCAGGACAUAAAAUGAGCAGUUUCAACUAACACCAACAUUUUGAAAAGCAAUUAUAAUGCCAGCGAUGAUAUGAAUCCUUGUAUUUCUUAACCAACAAUUCCCUCCCCAAAAAAAUGUGAUAGUAAAUGUGCAUUUUUUU